AUUGAACGCUAGCGGGAUGCCUUACACAUGCAAGUCGAACGGAGUGGCGAACGGGUGAGUAAUGUAUCGGAACGUGCCCAGUAGCGGGGGAUAACUACGCGAAAGCGUAGCUAAUACCGCAUACUAUUGGAGCGGCCGAUGUCGGAUUAGCUAGUUGGUGGGGUAACGGCCCACCAAGGCGACGAUCCGUAGCUGGUCUGAGAGGACGGCCGGCCACAUUGGAACUUAGACGCGGCCCAGAGUCCUAUGCGAGGCAGCAGUGGGGAAUUUUGGACAAUGGGGGAAAACCUGAUCCAGCCAGCCCGCGUGUGCGAUGAAGGCCUUCGGGUUGUAAAGCACUUUUGGCUGGAGGGCGGUACCUGCAGAAUAAGCACCGGCUAACUACGUGCCAGCAGCCGCGGUAAUUC
rnacentral:rRNA from 1 species